UUCAGUUAGUGGACUAUGUUCGACAAUACUGGUUAACAACAGUAUGUUUAUCUAGUUUUACUGUUUAUAGUGUAAACAUCCUUACCAAUAAUUAUGUAGAAAGUUUUCAGAGCAUGCUAAAGUCCACCAUAGGCCUACAUCCCCCAGUCUGGUCCUUUUACGGUAAUUUAUUUUUAUAAUAAUUUAUAAUUGACAAUAAUUAGAAUGUUGAUUGAUUUUUAAUAAUAUUUUGCAGAUCGAUUACGUUCCAACUUCCAUUGAAAGUAGAAUACAGAGGGAAACCUUACAAAACAAACAAUCAACGGCCAGAGAGUACGAAGAUCAAUUGUGUCUAGCAGAGACACAAAUAACUGAAUUUUGGCUGAUGCUCAACAAAGCGUACGCUAUGGCCGCUAUGACUCAAUGGCUCGAUUAAGAAGAGUUUCCUACU